GACGAACCGAGCGAACGUUAUUCGGAAUCACUGGGCUUAAAGGGCGCGUAGGCGGGCGGUCAAGUCGAGGGUGAAAUCCCCCAGCUCAACUGGGGAAGUGCCUCCGAUACUGGCCGUCUCGAGGGGGAUAGGGGCGUGCGGAACUUCCGGUGGAGCGGUGAAAUGCGUAGAUAUCGGAAGGAACACCGGUGGCGAAAGCGGCGCGCUGGAUCCCUUCUGACGCUGAGGCGCGAAAGCCAGGGGAGCGAACGGG
rnacentral:rRNA from 1 species